GACGGAGGAUGCAAGCGUUAUCCGGAAUUAUUGGGCGUAAAGCGUCCGUAGGUGGCUGUUCAAGUCUGCGGUCAAAGCACAAGGCUUAACCUUGUAAAGGCCGUGGAAACUGAAGAGGCUAGAGUGCGGUAGGGGUAGAGGGAAUUCCCAGUGUAGCGGUGAAAUGCGUAGAUAUCGGGAGGAACACCAGUGGCGAAGGCGGCGAUCUGGGAAGAUACUGACGCUGAGGUGCGAAAGCGUGGGGAGCAAACAGG
rnacentral:rRNA from 1 species